rnacentral:rRNA from 1 species
CCUACGGGUGGCAGCAGUGGGGAAUCUUGGGCAAUGGGCGCAAGCCUGACCCAGCAACGCCGCGUGCAGGAAGAAGGCUUUCGGGUUGUAAACUUCUUUUCUCAGGGACGAAGAAAGUGACGGUACCUGAGGAAUAAGCCACGGCUAACUACGUCCCAGCCGCCGCGGUAAUACGUAGGUGGCCAGCGUUAUCCGGAGAUAGUGGGUGUAAAGGGCGGGUAGGCGGGAGCGCAUGACAGAUGUGAACACGCAGGGCUAAACCCUGAGCCUGCAAUUGAAACUGUGUAUCUUGAGUGCUGGAGAGGCAACCGGAAUUCCGAGUGUAGCGGUGAAAUGCGUAGAUAUAAGAAGGAACACCAGUGGCGAAGGCAGAUUGCUGGACAGGAACUGACGCUGAGGCGCGAAAGCGUAGGGAGCAAACAGGAUUAGAUACCCCAGUAGUC